rnacentral:rRNA from 1 species
AACGCCAGGGAAUUACGAGCAAUGCUUAAAACCCAAAGGAUUUGACGGUAUCCCAUCCACCUAGAGGAGCCUGUUCUAUAAUCGAUAACCCCCGCUAUACCCAACCACUCCUAGCUUAUCAGCCUGUAUACCUCCGUCGAAAGCCUACCAUGUGAAUGUUCUUAGUAAGCUUAAUGUCCCCGUCAAAACGUCAGGUCAAGGUGCAGCUCAUGGAAUGGAAAGCAAUGGGCUACAAUUUCUAACUUAGAACAUACGAAAAACCAGGUGAAACCCUGGUCAUGAAGGCGGAUUUAGCAGUAAAAAGAAAAUAGAGUGUUCUUUUUAACCCGGCCCUGGGAUGUGUACACACCGCCCGUCACCCUCUUCAACUGUAAUUAACACUGUUUUAUAACUCUCCCCCCCACAUUCUAGAAGAGGCAAGUCGUAACAUGGUAAGUGUACUGGAAAGUGCACUUGGCUAACAA